GGAAUUUGUUAUAAUAAUAAUAUGAGGGUGACAAACCAGCUACAUUGACACCAAGCUAAGUGCGUGUGUCGAUCUGCUCGAGGGCAGGAAGGCUCUGCACGAGGAGCUGGAUAGGCUGGAGCGAUGGGCUGAGGUCAACUGUAUGAAGUUCAACAAGGCCAAGUGCCGGGUCCUGCACCUGGGGCGCAACAACCCCAAGCAGAGCUACAGGCUGGGAGAUGAGUGGCUGGAAAGCUGCCUGGCCGAGAAGGACCUGGGAGUAUUGGUUGAUAGUCGGCUGAAUAUGAGCCAGCAGUGUGCUCAGGUGGCCAAGAAGGCCAACAGCAUCCUGGCCUGUAUAAGAAGCAGUGUGGCCAGCAGGUCUAGGGAAGUGAUUGUGCCCCUGUACUCGGCUCUGGUGAGGCCGCACCUCGAGUACUGUGUUCAGUUUUGGGCCCCUCGCUACAGGAAGGACAUGGACGUGCUCGAGCGAGUCCAGAGAAGGGCGACCAAGCUGGUGAGGGGUCUGGAGAACAAGUCUUACGAGGAGCGGCUGAGGGAGCUGGGCUUGUUCAGCCUGGAGAAGAGGAGGCUCAGGGGCGACCUUAUCGCUCUCUACAGUUACCUUAAAGGAGGCUGUAGAGAGGUGGGGGUUGGUCUGUUCUCCUACGUGCCUGGUGACAGGACGAGGGGGAAUGGGCGAAAGUUGCGACAGGGGAGUUUUAGGUUGGAUGUUAGGAAGUACUUCUUUACCGAAAGGGUUAUUAAGCAUUGGAACGGGCUGCCCAGGGAGGUGGUGGAGUCACCAUCCCUGGAGGUCUUUAAAAGACGUUUAGAUGUAGAGCUUAGCGAUAUGGUUUAGUGGAGUACUUAGUGUUAGGUCGGAGGUUGGACUCGAUGAUCUUGAGGUCUCUUCCAACCUAGAAAUCUGUGAUACUGUGAUACUGUGAUUAUAUGUCUGCACAGCAUGUUGAUUAUUAAAUGCAGUUGCCUGGUGCAAGAGCGCCUGCAACUGAAACCCAUCACCAGAGCCCUG
rnacentral:lncRNA from 1 species